rnacentral:lncRNA from 1 species
GCCUUAGACAGACAUCACUCUUUAGAAUCCCUGCAACUUUGAGCAAGUUCGUGAAUCUCACUAAGGCUCAGUUUCCUCCAUAAAAUUAAUCAAUAUCAGGGCCUCUGCAUUGGACAACUCCAGAGGGCACCAUUGGGGUUAUACCUUGUGUUUGCCUAACCUUCAUUGCAGUGGGCAGGUGCAUGCUUUCUACAAUGUCCUAAGGUCUAAAGGGGUAGAGUUCUGUGUGUGGCAUUUUAGGCCUGGAAAGGAUGAGAGUCUACAAAACCAGAGAAAUACUGCAGAGCUCCUAAAGUCCUUGGAAUGUCCUAAGUGCCAUUGGUAAGAAGCACACAUGACAACCUGGACUUUCCAUCAACAUUUGAAGCGGGAGCAGUCUUGUGGGAUCAAGCUCUUAACCUGUGGGGUCUGCUACUAACUCUGAAUCCAAUGAACACAUGGACCCAACACUCCUUUGGCCAAGUUGAUGAUUCUCCACCAUUUAUUUGCCUGCCUCACUAUACACUUCUAGCAAGCCACUGCAAGGCUGCAUUGCAGCUAAGAGGAAGCCCUCCUUGAAGGCUGCACAGCAAGGAGUGUUGGCAGAGUAGCUGGGUUUCCACUGGGAGAGCACGAGUCAGCAUCAUGCUGGGCUCAAGCAUGGAUAUGCACUGCUGCUGCCAGAGCAUCAUAAUUUGCAAGCAUUUAUCGAGUACCCUUCAUCUAAUUUUCAUCCUGCGGAAACUAGAAAUUGCUACACUUGCACACAAUAAACUUCUGGCAGUUAGCCUUCUAAACUGGGACACUACCAUUUGGGAGGGAAAAGACCUUUCUGGUGGUUAAAGAUGGGGCUUCCAGUUACUGCAUUUGUUUUAAUACAGUCUAUUCCAUAGAGCCAUCGAUGGAGACUCAUUAUAUAACCUUUCGUGGAAAGCUUCUGACUUCUUUCUCAAUGCACAGUGCUUCACGUGACUUUUGAGUUAUAGCUGACUGCCCUAGCUCACAUUUUAGUGCCAGAAGAUCCCAGACCACCACCCAUGAUCCCAGGCUGGAGGAAGCAGCAGGCUAGCGGAAUUCAGGACCAAUGAGCCAGGAAAGAGGACCCAAUGCAGAGCUCACAUCCCACCCUCCUUCCCCCAUGACAAAGCACUGGCAAACCCUGCCAAAGAAGAAGCUUGGCUGCAAAGCAGUCUGGAACUGGACCCGGGAUAGAUUCACCAGGAGCUCACCACCACAGGGAAUGCUGCACUUUGACUGGACAGAAUGCAUCCUCCAUGCCCACAGAGCAUGUGCCCAGGAUGAAUCUCACUGUAUCCCAGUUCCUCAUGCUUGGCCCCAAACCUCUUUUUCACAGUAAUAAAGAAAACACACUUUACAAAAAGGCA